rnacentral:rRNA from 1 species
CCUACGGGUGGCAGCAGUGAGGAAUAUUGGGCAAUGGGCGGAAGCCUGAACCAGCCAAGUAGCGUGAAGGAUGACGGCCCUACGGGGUGUAAACUGCUGUUAUACGGGAAUAACGCGCAUUACGUGUAGGGCUUUGCAUGUACCGUAUGAAUAAGGACCGGCUAACGCCGUGCCAGCAGCCGCGGUAAUACGGAGGGGCCGGGCGUUAUCCGGAUUUAUUGGGUUGAAAGGGAGCGUAGGGCGCGUGUCAAGAGUGCUGUGAAAGUUCCUGGCUCAACCCGGGCCUUGCAGCGCGAACUGGCGUCCUUGAGUCCGCGAGAAGUAGGCGGAAUUCGUCGUGUAGCGGU